GUAUCAGAGCGUCCUCUCGAGUCUUCCUGGCUCCAUAGGAAUCCAGUGCUGCAGGAGGCACCAGCAGAGGGCGCGCUCGUUCCACCUUCCCGUCUGUCUUCUCUCGCUCGGGUUGGACUGGAGUAACCUCCCCAAAGACGCUUGAGCACGCCCAAGUUUGCCCGGGGCUCUGUUUGCCAGACCGAGAUUUCUGCUGCUCGACUUGAGCGGUUUGCCGACUUCUCUGCGCUCUGCGGGCUUGCCUUGAAUUCACUUUGACGCCGAGGAUAGCCCACCGCCUCCAUCCUACCACUGCAGCGCCGCAGCAUACCAGAUGGGGAUCGAACCCAGGGCUGGUAACCGAUAUCCAGUGGGCCACACGCUCCCCCCAACACCUCCACCC
rnacentral:lncRNA from 1 species